CUCGAAUGAAAUACAACGGAGCAUCUAAAAAUCUUUGGGGAAUAUACUUAGUUAUGUUGGAGGGUGUAAUAUGCGACUCAAGGUUAACAAUAUCGGGAAGCUUUGAACUGGCCAUGGAAGAACAAGGAAGCGUACCUGAGAACACAAUGGGGUGAAAAAUGCAGAAGGAGUUGCAGGAAGACAGAGAGCAGAAAAGAGCUAGUUUCUUCAGAAGACAGAAGGAAUUCGAGAUGAAAGGCAAUAAUGAGACGGAACGUGGAUCUGAACAGUUUUGUCUUGGAGCGGCGCGAUCAUUAAUUACUCUCAAAGUUUACCCUCUCAACGGUUAGAUAAAUAACCGGUGAGAAGGUAAAGGGGCAAAAAAGAUGAUCGUUGGGCUUCUCCACAUCCGUCAAGGGCCAGAUCCGUGAUUACAGCCCAUCAACCAAAAGCCCAUUCGCCACCUACAUAAUACAAGCCCAACUUAGCCCGCAAGAACAACUCAACCUGCAAAAUUCACCACUUCACCACCUCCAUGGUAAAUACCAAGGAAACAGAGGGGCAAGUCAUGAAAAGACUCAAAAGUACAAGCAAAUGGGAGCAUGAUAAAGGUCAGACUUGCUCAUCGUUUAAAAAGAUAUAAGAUUUGACUUAUCGUUAUUGAACAAAGGCUGCGAGAUCGGAAAGAGGCGAUAAGGGCACCUCGGAA
rnacentral:lncRNA from 1 species